UGGGGAAUUGUUCACAAUGGGCGCAAGCCUGAUGACGCAACGCCGCGUGGGGGAUGAAGGUCUUCGGAUUGUAAACCCCUGUCGAAUGGGACGAAAGACUCGCGAGUUAAUACUUCGCGGGAGUGACGGUACCGUUAAAGGAAGCCACGGCUAACUCUGUGCCAGCAGCCGCGGUAAUACAGAGGUGGCAAGCGUUGUUCGGAAUUACUGGGCGUAAAGGGCGCGUAGGCGGCCUACUAAGUCAGACGUGAAAUCCCCCGGCUUAACCUGGGAACUGCGUCUGAUACUGGAAGGCUUGAGUAUGGGAGAGGGAUGUAGAAUUCCAGGUGUAGCGGUGAAAUGCGUAGAUAUCUGGAGGAACACCGAUGGCGAAGGCAGCCCCCUGGGCUAACACUGACGCUCAUGCACGAAAGCGUGGGGAGCAAACAGGAUUAGAUACCCCCGUAGUCCCUGAGCGGGCUGGCAAGGCGC
rnacentral:rRNA from 1 species